AAAUUGAAGAGUUUGAUCAUGGCUCAGAUUGAACGCUGGCGGCAGGCCUAACACAUGCAAGUCGAACGGUAACAGGAAGCAGCUUGCUGCUUCGCUGACGAGUGGCGGACGGGUGAGUAAUGUCUGGGAAACUGCCUGAUGGAGGGGGAUAACUACUGGAAACGGUGGCUAAUACCGCAUAACGUCGCAAGACCAAAGAGGGGGACCUUCGGGCCUCUUGCCAUCAGAUGUGCCCAGAUGGGAUUAGCUUGUUGGUGAGGUAACGGCUCACCAAGGCGACGAUCCCUAGCUGGUCUGAGAGGAUGACCAGCCACACUGGAACUGAGACACGGUCCAGACUCCUACGGGAGGCAGCAGUGGGGAAUAUUGCACAAUGGGCGCAAGCCUGAUGCAGCCAUGCCGCGUGUAUGAAGAAGGCCUUCGGGUUGUAAAGUACUUUCAGCGGGGAGGAAGGGGAUAAGG
rnacentral:rRNA from 3 species